AACGUAGGAGACGAGCGUUAUCCGGAUUUACUGGGCGUAAAGUGUGCGCAGGCGGCUGAGCAAGUCGAGUGUGAAAGCCCCGAGCUUAACUUGGGAAUUGCGCUCGAAACUACUUGGCUCGAGUGUGGCAGAGGAAGGUGGAAUUCCACGUGUAGCGGUGAAAUGCGUAGAGAUGUGGAGGAACACCGAUGGCGAAGGCAGCCUUCUGGGCCAACACUGACGCUCAUGCACGAAAGCGUGGGGAGCAAACAGG
rnacentral:rRNA from 1 species